rnacentral:rRNA from 2 species
UGGGGAAUAUUGCACAAUGGGGGAAACCCUGAUGCAGCGACGCCGCGUGAAGGAAGAAGUAUUUCGGUAUGUAAACUUCUAUCAGCAGGGAAGAAAAUGACGGUACCUGACUAAGAAGCCCCGGCUAACUACGUGCCAGCAGCCGCGGUAAUACGUAGGGGGCAAGCGUUAUCCGGAUUUACUGGGUGUAAAGGGAGCGUAGACGGCAUGGCAAGUCUGGUGUGAAAGGCAGGGGCUCAACCCCUGGACUGCAUUGGAAACUGUCAGGCUGGAGUGCAGGAGAGGUAAGUGGAAUUCCUAGUGUAGCGGUGAAAUGCGUAGAUAUUAGGAGGAACACCAGUGGCGAAGGCGACUUACUGGACUGUAACUGACGUUGAGGCUCGAAAGCGUGGGGAGCAAACAGG